rnacentral:rRNA from 1 species
UACAGAGGGUGCGAGCGUUAAUCGGAAUUACUGGGCGUAAAGCGCGCGUAGGCGGCUUUGCAAGUCGGGUGUGAAAUCCCCAGGCUUAACCUGGGAACUGCAUUCGAGACUGCAUUGCUAGAGUAUGGGAGAGGGAAGUGGAAUUUCCGGUGUAGCGGUGAAAUGCGUAGAUAUCGGGAAGAACACCAGUGGCGAAAGCGCUCUACUGGGCCAUAACUGACACUGAGGGACGAAAGCUAGGGGAGCGAAAGGG